rnacentral:rRNA from 1 species
CUACGGGGGCAGCAGUGGGGAAUAUUGGACAAUGGGCGAAAGCCUGAUCCAGCCAUGCCGCGUGUGUGAAGAAGGCCUUCGGGUUGUAAAGCACUUUCAGUGGGGAAGAAAGCCUUGGGGCUAAUACCCUCGAGGAAGGACAUCACCCACAGAAGAAGCACCGGCUAACUCCGUGCCAGCAGCCGCGGUAAUACGGAGGGUGCGAGCGUUAAUCGGAAUUACUGGGCGUAAAGCGCGCGUAGGCGGUCUGAUAAGCCGGUUGUGAAAGCCCCGGGCUCAACCUGGGAACGGCAUCCGGAACUGUCAGGCUAGAGUGCAGGAGAGGAAGGUAGAAUUCCCGGUGUAGCGGUGAAAUGCGUAGAGAUCGGGAGGAAUACCAGUGGCGAAGGCGGCCUUCUGGACUGACACUGACGCUGAGGUGCGAAAGCGUGGGUAGCAAACAGGAUUAGAUACCCUGGUAGUC